rnacentral:sRNA from 1 species
AAUAUGUCUAUGCUUCUUCUUCUUCUUCUUCUUGUCCCAUUCAUUACUCCAUCUUCGCAAUCUUCCAU